rnacentral:ncRNA from 1 species
ACGCGCAUAAGACCUGUCCGAGGCUAUGAUGCCCAUGGACUUGGGAUGGGAGCGAGUAGGACAGGCACGCAC